rnacentral:tRNA from 1 species
GCUCUGAUGGCGAAAUGGUUACGUACUCAGCUGCUAACUGAAAGUUUGGUGGUUCGAACCCAUCAGCG